rnacentral:rRNA from 1 species
UACGAGAGGCCCAAACGUUAUUCGGAAUUACUGGGCUUAAAGAGUUCGUAGGCGGCAUUGCAAGUAGGGUGUGAAAGCCCUCGGCUCAACCGAGGAAUUGCGCUCUAAACUGCAGUGCUUGAGGAAGCUAGAGGUGAGCAGAACAGAUGGUGGAGCGGUGAAAUGCGUUGAUAUCAUCUGGAAUACCGGAGGCGAAGGCGGCUCACUGAGGCUUUUCUGACGCUGAGGAACGAAAGCCAGGGUAGCGAACGGG